ACAAAUAUUAUAUUAUAUCAUAUAUAUAUAUAGGGUCCAGUACGAUCGCCCUCGUACUGAGUUGUUUUCGAUAAUAAAGCUUUCGAAUCGACGAUUCACACCGUUAACGUUAUUUACAUCAUUUAAAACUUCUAGAAAUCAAAUUUUAUAAUUUUUCGACAUCAUUUACCUUACGAUCAAGAAGUCACAAAUUUGACAAUUUUUAACGGUCGGUAUGGGAUACUUGCUAGUUUAAUAGUGUAAAAGAAUCAGAAUUUAUUGAAUUUUUUAUAGAAAAUUCUAUUCACUACAUAGAUAAAGAUCAAUAACUCUAAUCUUGAAUUGAAGGAUCCGAUCAUUCUUUUUUAGGACGUCGUUCGAUUUUUACCGUUCAUUUUAUGCCCACUUGAUGGGUUUUAUUAUGAUUUCGAAAAUUUACGAAAUUUAUUUUUUAGAACUUUCAAAUACUCUAGAUCAUAUUUAACGGAGUGGAUCGUCGAUUCGGAAGCUCGAUCAUCGAAAACAACUUAUGAUUACGAUGGCUCUAAUACUCAUAAUAGUAUAGUAGCCAUAGCCUAUAUAUAUAUAUAUAUAUAUAUAUAUAUAGAGCGUCUGGUAUGCUUAUGGAAGCACGGAGCGCUCNUUGGUACUAUUGAGUUUUCGGCCGUUGAAUGAAAGGAUGUGCGGUUAGGAUAAUAGUGAUUCCCGGUUAAAUUGAUAGUGGUCCCCUAGGGUUGAGUGGGUGGUUGGUUUAAUAGUAUAAUCUAACGGGUGAAAAUAAUCAAAUGGUAGAUCUAACGGUAGAAAACUCAAUAGUACCAAGGGCUUGGUACUAUCAAUAGUAUAGUAGCCGGACCAUAUAUAUAUAUAUGGUCCGGCUACUAUACUAUUAUGAGUACGAUCGCCCUCGUACUCAUAAGUUGUUUUCAAUGAUCGAGCUUCCGAAUCGACGAUCCACACCGUUAAACGUUAUUUACAGUAUUUAAAAUUUCUAGAAAUCAAAUUUUAUAAUUUUUCGACAUCAUUUACCUUAUGAUCAAGAGGUCACAAAUUUGAUAAUUUUUAACGGCCGGUAUAGGGUACUUGCUAGUUUAACGGUGUAAAAGAAUCGAAAUUUGUUGAAUUUUUGAUAGAAAAUUCUAUUCACUACAUAGAUAAAGAUCAAUAACUCCGAUCUUGAAUUGAAGGAUA
rnacentral:lncRNA from 1 species